rnacentral:rRNA from 2 species
UACGUAGGGGGCAAGCGUUGUCCGGAUUCAUUGGGCGUAAAGAGCGUGUAGGCGGCCAGGUAGGUCGGUUGUGAAAACUGGAGGCUCAACCUUCAGACGUCGACCGAAACCAUCUGGCUAGAGUCCGGGAGAGGAGAGUGGAAUUCCUGGUGUAGCGGUGAAAUGCGCAGAUAUCAGGAAGAACACCCGUGGCGAAAGCGGCUCUCUGGAACGGUACUGACGCUGAGACGCGAAAGCGUGGGGAGCGAACAGG